GGACCCGCACAAGCGGUGGAUGAUGUGGUUUAAUUCGAUGCAACGCGAAAAACCUUACCUACCCUUGACAUGUCAAGAAUUUCGCAGAGAUGUGGAAGUGCUCGAAAGAGAACUUGAACACAGGUGCUGCAUGGCCGUCGUCAGCUCGUGUCGUGAGAUGUUGGGUUAAGUCCCGCAACGAGCGCAACCCUUGUCAUUAGUUGCUACGAAAGGGCACUCUAAUGAGACUGCCGGUGACAAACCGGAGGAAGGUGGGGAUGACGUCAGGUCCUCAUGGCCCUUAUGGGUAGGGCUACACACGUCAUACAAUGGCCGGUACAGAGGGCUGCCAACCCGCGAGGGGGAGCCAAUCCCAGAAAACCGGUCGUAGUCCGGAUCGCAGUCUGCAACUCGACUGCGUGAAGUCGGAAUCGCUAGUAAUCGCGGAUCAGCUUGCCGCGGUGAAUACGUUCCCGGGUCUU
rnacentral:rRNA from 1 species